GACGAACGCUGGCGGCGUGCUUAACACAUGCAAGUCGAACGGAAAGGCCCUGCUUGCAGGGUACUCGAGUGGCGAACGGGUGAGUAACACGUGGGUGAUCUGCCCUGCACUUCGGGAUAAGCCUGGGAAACUGGGUCUAAUACCGGAUAUGACCUUCCAUGUAGUGUGGGGGGUGGAAAGAUUUAUCGGUGUGGGAUGAGCCCGCGGCCUAUCAGCUUGUUGGUGGGGUAAUGGCCUACCAAGGCGUCGACGGGUAGCCGGCCUGAGAGGGUGGACGGCCACACUGGGACUGAGAUACGGCCCAGACUCCUACGGGAGGCAGCAGUGGGGAAUAUUGCACAAUGGGCGGAAGCCUUAUGCAGCGACGCCGCGUGGGGGAUGACGGCCUUCGGGUUGUAAACCUCUUUCGACAGGGACGAAGCUUCGGUGACGGUACCUGUAGAAGAAGCACCGGCUAACUACGUG
rnacentral:rRNA from 1 species